GUGCUCACUUUGGCAGCACAUAUACUAAAAUUGGAAGGAUAUAGAGAUUACUAUAGCCCCUGAACAAGGAUGACAUGCAAAUUCAUAAAGCACUCCAUAUUUAA
ensembl:snRNA U6 U6 spliceosomal RNA